rnacentral:rRNA from 1 species
GAUCAUGGCUCAGAUUGAACGCUGGCGGCAUGCCUUACACAUGCAAGUCGAACGGUAACAGGUCUUCGGAUGCUGACGAGUGGCGAACGGGUGAGUAAUACAUCGGAACGUGCCCGAUCGUGGGGGAUAACGAAGCGAAAGCUUUGCUAAUACCGCAUACGAUCUACGGAUGAAAGCAGGGGACCGCAAGGCCUUGCGCGAACGGAGCGGCCGAUGGCAGAUUAGGUAGUUGGUGGGAUAAAAGCUUACCAAGCCGACGAUCUGUAGCUGGUCUGAGAGGACGACCAGCCACACUGGGACUGAGACACGGCCCAGACUCCUACGGGAGGCAGCAGUGGGGAAUUUUGGACAAUGGGCGAAAGCCUGAUCCAGCCAUGCCGCGUGCAGGAUGAAGGCCUUCGGGUUGUAAACUGCUUUUGUACGGAACGAAAAGACUCUGGUUAAUACCUGGGGUCCAUGACGGUACCGUAAGAAUAAGCACCGGCUAACUACGUG